rnacentral:misc_RNA from 1 species
UCCCCGUUACCGAGGCAGUCUAGCUAGAGAAAUUCAACUAACUACAAGGGUUGCGCUCGUUGAUGGACUUAACCAAACAUCUCACGACACGAGCUGACGACGGCCAUGCAACACCUGUCACUGCGGCCCGAAGGCACAGUCUCCUUUCGGAGACCUUGGCAGGAUGUCAAACCCUGGUAAGGUUCUUCGCUUAGCCUCGAAUUAAACAACACGCUCCACCGCUUGUGCGGGUCCCCGUCAAUUCCUUUAUGUUUUAGUCUUGCGACCGUACUCCACAGGCGGCUUGCUUAACGCGUUAGCUUCGCUACUACCAGGGUCGAUACUGAUAACAGCUAGCAAGCAUAGUUUACGGCGUGGACUAC